UGCCAAGAAGAGAAUGAGAGCAAUGAAAAAUAGAGAAAAAAACUUCUACAAGUGUUACACCCCAGGCAUCGCCUUCUGAAUCAUCAAGGGCAAGUGGAGAUACUGGAGAGGUCAAUUUGUCCAAGCCUAGUCAUGUUAAGGAUGAAGAAACAGGAUCACAAUUUGAUGAAGAUAACCUCAAUUGUGGGACAGGAUUGAUAAAGAAGUUCAAGAACAGGAAUCCCAAUUUGUUGGACCUUCUCAGCCACGAGUAAUGCUAGAAUGUAGUGUAUGUUUUUUGUUCCACCCAAUAGGUGUGCGCGAUUGAUUUCUUCAUUGGUGACUUGUUAUAUCCAAUGAACAAAUCAACUGCUUUUGAUGGUUUAAUAUCAUUUUAUGUUUCUGGGUUUUUAUUACUGUUUCUGUUGUUUGUUUGGGACACCAUUAAAAAUGUGAUUGUUUGAAUGUUCUUGUGAUACCUUGGAAAACAAUAAUCAGGUUUUUAUUA